rnacentral:rRNA from 1 species
GCGAAAACUUUACAAUGCUGGCAAAAGCGAUAAGGGAACCUCGAGUGCGAGGUUACAAAUCUGGCUGUCGAGAUGCCUAAAAAGCAUUUCAUAGCAAGGGCCGGGCAAGACCGGUGCCAGCCGCCGCGGUAACACCGGCGGCUCGAGUGGUAACCGUUAUUAUUGGGUCUAAAGGGUCUGUAGCCGGCCGGAUAAGUCUCUUGAGAAAUCUGGCAGCUUAACUGUCAGGCUUUCAGGAGAUACUGUCUGGCUCGAGGCCGGGAGAGGUGAGAGGUACUUCAGGGGUAGGGGUGAAAUCUUGUAAUCCUUGAAGGACUGCCAGUGGCGAAGGCGUCUCACCAGAACGCACCUGACGGCAAGGGACGAAAGCUAGGAGCACGAACC